rnacentral:rRNA from 1 species
GAUGAACGCUGGCGGCGUGCUUAACACAUGCAAGGUCGAACGGAGAAAGGGUAGCUUGCUAUCGUUUUCUUAGUGGCGGACGGGUGAGUAACGCGUGGGUAACCUGCCCUUUGCAGGGGGAUAACAGUGAGAAAUCACUGCUAAUACCGCAUACCAACUUCUUUCGCAUGAAAGAAGUUUGAAAGAUUUAUCGGCAAAGGAUGGACCCGCGUUGGAUUAGCUAGUUGGUGAGAUAACAGCCCACCAAGGCAACGAUCCAUAGCCGGCCUGAGAGGGUGAACGGCCACACUGGGACUGAGACACGGCCCAGACUCCUACGGGAGGCAGCAGUGGGGAAUAUUGCACAAUGGGCGAAAGCCUGAUGCAGCGACGCCGCGUGAAGGAUGAAGGUCUUCGGAUUGUAAACUUCUAUCAGCAGGGAAGAAAGGGCCUAUGGCCUAUGACGGUACCUGACUAAGAAGCCCCGGCUAACUACGUG